rnacentral:rRNA from 1 species
GACGAACGCUGGCGGCGUGCUUAACACAUGCAAGUCGAACGGUAAGACCCUUCGGGGUACACGAGUGGCGAACGGGUGAGUAACACGUGGGUGAUCUGCCCUGCACUUCGGGAUAAGCCUGGGAAACUGGGCCUAAUACCGGAUAGGACCACUGCCUGCAUGGGUGGUGGUGGAAAGCUUUUGCGGUGUGGGAUGGGCCCGCGGCCUAUCAGCUUGUUGGUGGGGUGAUGGCCUACCAAGGCGACGACGGGUAGCCGGCCUGAGAGGGUGACCGGCCACACUGGGACUGAGAUACGGCCCAGACUCCUACGGGAGGCAGCAGUGGGGAAUAUUGCACAAUGGGCGCAAGCCUGAUGCAGCGACGCCGCGUGAGGGAUGACGGCCUUCGGGUUGUAAACCUCUUUCAGCACCGACGAAGCGCAAGUGACGGUAGGUGCAGAAGAAGGACCGGCCAACUACGUGCAGCAGCCGCGGUAA